UGGUCCAGCCCGGGUUCGAACCGGAGACCUUCUGCGUGUAAAGCAGACGUGAUAACCACUACACCACUGGACC
rnacentral:tRNA from 1 species